rnacentral:rRNA from 1 species
AAACUAACAAGGAUUCCCCUAGUAGCGGCGAGCGAAGCGGGAAGAGCUCAAAUUUAUAAUCUGGCACCUUCGGUGUCCGAGUUGUAAUCUCUAGAAAUGUUUUCCGCGCUGGACCGCACACAAGUCUGUUGGAAUACAGCGGCAUAGUGGUGAGACCCCCGUAUAUGGUGCGGAUGCCCAGCGCUUUGUGAUACAUUUUCGAAGAGUCGAGUUGUUUGGGAAUGCAGCUCAAAUUGGGUGGUAAAUUCCAUCUAAAGCUAAAUAUUGGCGAGAGACCGAUAGCGAACAAGUACCGUGAGGGAAAGAUGAAAAGCACUUUGGAAAGAGAGUUAACAGUACGUGAAAUUGUUGGAAGGGAAACGCUUGAAGUCAGACUUGCUUGCCGAGCAAUCGGUUUGCAGGCCAGCAUCAGUUUUCCGGGAUGGAUAAUGGUAGAGAGAAGGUAGCAGUUUCGGCUGUGUUAUAGCUCUCUACUGGAUACAUCCUUGGGGGACUGAGGAACGCAGUGUGCCUUACGGCGGGGGUUUCGACCUCUUCACACUUAGGAUGCUGGUGGAAUGGCUUUAAACGAC